AAUGCACAUAAAAACCCAAAGAAUAUUGUUUUUAAUAAUAAUAUUCUUGUCAUGUGUGCAGAUAUUAAGUGUGUAUCUUGUCGCCUUUCAAAAGCUGAAGUGCUGUUGAAAGUGAAAUGUAAGGUUCUACAUUA
rnacentral:snoRNA from 1 species